GAGGCUGAGGCUAGCGGAUCACUUGAGGUCAGGUGUUUGAGACCGGCCUGGCUGACAUGGGGAAACCCUAUCUCUACUAAAAAUACAAAAACUAACUGGGCAUUGUAGUGGGCUCCUAUAAUCCUGCCCACUCAGGAGGCUGAGGCAGGAGAAUCGCUUGAACUCGGGAGGCAGAGGUUGCAGUGGGCCAAGAUCAUGCCGCUGCACUC